rnacentral:tRNA from 1 species
GUAGGCGUAGUAUAAAGGUUAUUAUAAGUGCUUGCCAAGCAUUAGAUGGGGGUUCGAUUCCCCUCGCCUGCUCCA